CGAUGAAAUUAAUGUGCGUCCUAAGGCUUUUCCAAACAAUAUUUUACGUGGAAAACCUUUCAGUUCUCUAAUGCUUUCGUUCAGUCAGCGUGAAAACCGUUUCCAUAGUAGAAGGAGCCACGCUGUUCAUUUUUAUGAAGUUGAAAAAAUCUUGUUUUUGCACUGAUUAGAAUGGGUGUGAUGAAAUCUCUCUCUUGCUGUGAAGCCAGUUUGUGUUAUCCCAACCUUUUCU